rnacentral:lncRNA from 1 species
GCCAAAAUAAUCCACAAAACUAUCAGAAUUUUUAAAACUUUAAAACAUUAACUUUUUAAGAUAAUUAUGAAUAAAAAAAAUGCAUGAAUAUUAUUUCAGAAUAAAUCAAUUUAAACCUAAAAUAACUUUCAAUAUUUUACUCUCCAUAAAAAUAUGUUUUGUCAAAAUUAUACAAGUUAGAAAUAAGUGCAAGAUAACAUCGGGCCAUUAAUAAUAGUUAAAUAAAAUGAUCUGGAGGGCCGGAUAGAAUUACCUGGAGGGCCGGAUCCGGCCCCGGGGCCUUGAAUUUGACACGGGAUCCUCAGGUAUGAUGUGGGCGACAAGUCACAGUCGGGCCCGCCGUGGUCGCAGUGAACACUGGCGUCUAACGGGAGUCAGACAAAAGCAGAGCAGAGCGGGACGUCGUUUUCCUUCUAUGCUUCCACAUGUUGCUGAGGACUGGUUGGAGAUCCGAGAGCGUUCCCUUCUCCACGCUGUGACAGCGGAGCGGCGCUCCGUCAGAAAACCCUGUUUGGAUGAAGCGUGACGGAUCAGGACGUCUCCUCACACUUUACUACAAACACUCAUCAGGCGUCGGUACUACACGAGGGACUCAUAAAGAAACCCUCACAUCGCACUACUCAUGCACCCACACUACGCAGGACUGUGUUUCCAUGGUAACAUCAGUGGAAGGGCUGGAGGCUGAGGCCAUUUUUAUUAUCCAACCUGAGGGAAAUACUAACAAACAUAAACGCACCGGAGGAAGCCGAGU